AAGCCUCAGUUCAAUACAUUCUGCAUUUCUCUCAUCAGUUUGAAGCAGUUCAAUUCUCUUAUAUCAGAAGCAAUGGGGUUGCUCAUAACCUUGCAAAGCUUGAUUCAAGAACCAGCUUCCAUGUAAUUGGCUUAUAGCCAUUCCUUCACCCAUUCUGAAGGCUCUUGUCUCUGAUGGAUGUAGGUCUGUGUAAUUAAUCCAAAAAAAUAAUAAUAAUAAUAAUAAAAUUAGUCUCCUGCUUCGAUAGAAUUGGAAGGUACAAAUCGCUUAUAUUUAUUGUGAAACUACUAGGAAUACAGAUUGAUUGUCUUCAGUAGCUUUGGACUUUCACUUAUUUCACUUAUUUUAAGUCUUUCCUCUAACUGAUGUGAAAAAUUCUUGUAUCAUUUAAGCUUUGUGUUCUCAUUUUUAGGUAAUGCCGUAAUGGUUUAUUGUUUAUUAAGCAAACUCGGCCCAUUCCUCUACACGAGGGAACCCGUGGCCUGGCAGGAACCCUUCUUUGUCACCAUCUCUCUCUUCUCUCUCUCUCUCUGCAAAUCUAUGCGUUGUCCAUUAGUCUGGACUUUGUGUUCGUCUUCUAACGGCUCCUUACUUCCAAAAUGUCCAAUACCCUAAUCAGAAAUCUUCUUUUUCUGGUACAAAAACGUUUUCUGCAAGCAUCUGCAAUGCCCUUCUCUUCCACCUCUCCAUUGCGCGCCUCCACUUCCUCUUCGUCAUUAACAGCCUUGUGAACUCUUUUGGGAAUCCCUUAGAAUCUGCUCUUUCAGACUCCCUGAAGUGUCAGCUCGACGAGAAUAACCUACGGAGACCUCAGUCUGUACUGGAAGUCUUGAAAACUCACAACUUCAGUGAUACCCAUGUGGCCAGAUUGAUCGCAAAGCGGCCCGCAGUCCUCCAUUGCAGCGUGGGCAAUAAUCUCCAGCCUAAAUUUGAGUGCCUCAUGAAAAAUGGCUUUGUAGGGUACAAUGCAACCAAAUGUGGAUUUCUUAAUAAAAGAGGGUGUGCCUCCUCACAGAGUGGGAAAAAUUAUUACGUUGCAGCCGAGGGCUAUAAUGCAAAAGCAUCAUCAUAUGGUUUAUGCAGUGAAUGCUGUUAAAAAUCUGGGCCUUCAACAACGUCUCGAAUGUUUGUACAUGCUGUUAGAGUGAUGCUAUCAAUGAGUGAGCCUACUUGGAAGAAGAAAAUUGAGCUGAUGAAGAGUUUUGGAUGGAGUGAAGAAGAGAUUUUGUCGGCUUUGGUGCGAGAACCAGUUAUUUUAGCUUGCUCAGAGAAGAAAAUCAAGAAUGUGAUGGAUUUCUGCAUGAACACUGUGAAGUUGGAACUGCAUACUAUAAUUGCGUAACCCAGGUUUCUUUUGUAUGCAGUUGACAAAAGGCUUCGUCCAAGGUAUGAUGUUUUGGAGGUUUUGCAGUCAAAGGAACUGAUUAAUUGGAACAGGAAAAUUGAAUGGGUGUUCGUAUUAAGUGAGAAGGAUUUCCUGAAGAAUUAUAUAGAUAAGUAUGCAGAUGAAGUCUCAGGUUUAUUGGAGAUGUAUCUUGGCGCCAGCAAAGCCAAAAAGAUAGGUACUGCAUAGCAAAAUAGUAAGUUUACAUCAACACUGCAAAACAAAUUGCUAGCUAUGUGAGUUCAUUUCAUGUCAUUGUGGAUAUCGGUUUCUGAAGAUCAUAACUUAGUGGUUUUUCAUCAUAAUUAAGUUCCAUUCCAUUGAUUCUGUCUCUUUUCCCCCUUCUUUUGAUGCAUGUUGUUAAUCACUUCUAACUAUGUAUUUGAACUUCAAAUUGAAGUGACAACUUAACCA